ACCUUAACUAUUUAUCUUUCAAGUUGAGUUCUCCCUGUGUUUUCCAGGCUGGAGUGUAGUGGCUGUUUACAGGCAUGAUUAUAGUACACUGCAGCCUCCAACUCCUGGGCUCAAGUGAUCCUCCUGCCUCAAACUCCUGAGUAGCUGGGACUACAGGCAUGUGCCACCAUGCCACGGUAUUAACAAUCUAAACAAAAAUAUGAUCAUCUCAUCCAGCACUUUGGGAGGCCAAGGCAGGAGGAUCACUAGAGGCCAGGAGUUCAACUAGCCAGGGCAACAAAGCAAGACCCCCAUCUCUCCUGAGUAGCUGGGGUUACUGGCGCCCUCCACCACGCCGGGCUAAUUUUUGUAUUUUUGGUAGAGAUGGGGUUUCACCAUGUUGGCCCAAAGUGCUGGGAUUACAGGCGUGAGCCACCGCGCCCGGGCGAACUCCAUUGAGUUUAAAUUAGAAAAAUAAAUUUAGCCUUAUUAAACUUGGCUUGAGUAUUUGCAUAAAGUUAGCAAGAAUAAUUAUUUUGCAUAUAGACUCUUCUACUUUUUAAAUUUGGUUUUGCUGAAACUUUAUUCCAUAGAGAAUCUCAAGUUUUUUCUUUAUUCUAAUGUUACAAUUUCCAAAGUUAUUAGAAACCUGCACUCGAGAGCACCUGUUAGAGGUUGGAAUUGAACAAUGAGAACACAUGGACACAAGAAGGGGAAUAACAAACCUGCACGUUGUGCACAUGUACCCUAAAACUUAAAGUAUAAUAAUAAUAAUAAUAAAGAGCACCUGUUAGAGUUCUACAGGUGAUUAUAAAACCACACACCCCUCGGGGGCAGUGCCAGUCAGGGUCACGAACCACACUUCUGCUUGGGGCAUCCUGCCUUGCAGCACACGUAGGGACUACAAUCAGAAAAGAGAGGCGAGCCUUUUCCUGACUAUCUGGGCCAGUGGUGUGGGAGUGUAAGAAUUUACCAAGACAGUUGUAGGUAAAGAAUGGCAGAUUUAUUAGAUAAAGUAGGAAAAUACUUUGCCAGGGAGACAAUGGGCAAGUCAGUGUUCAAUUGUAUGGAUUUCUACUCCUGUUUAUGAUUUCCUUCCUUCUGCUCGUGUUGGGUACGUUUCACUCUUUUUUUAUUUCUUAAGGUGUAGGCUGGUAUUAUUAGUUUAAUUCUAUUAUGGUAAUAACAUAUUUUGUAUGAUUCCAAUUUUUCCAAAUUUGUUAAGCAGAACUCACUCAUCACCAAGGGAACGGCACCAAGCCAUGCAUGAGGGAUCUGCCCCCCUGAGAUAAAUGGUUUCUAAUGAGAAAUCUGCAGCCAUUUGAAUUGUUGUUCCCCUAUGGGUAUUUUCAGUUGUAAAAUUUCCAUUUGCUUCUUUUUGUUUUUUUAUUUUCGAGACAGUAUAACUGUGACACUCAGGCUGUAUGAAUACAAGCACGUGCCACCACACCCACCUAAUUUUUUUUUUAUUUUUCGUAGAGAUGGGUUCUCACUAUGUUACCUAGGCUGGUCUCGAACUCCUCUUUACUGAGACUUUCUCCUUUCUCCUGGUUUCUAGAAUAUUUGUAAGCCCUUGGCUUGCAGCAGCCUCACUAUAGUCUCUGCCUCCAGCCUCACAUGGCCUUCCCCUCGGAGGCUUCUCUGGGUCUCAAAUCUCUCUCUGCUUUCUCUUAUAACAACACAGCUACUGGGUUUAGGGUCCACCCUAGAUUCAGGAUUGUCUCAUCUUGAGAUCCUUAACUUACUUAUGCCUGCAAAGACCUUGUUUCCAAAUACGAUCACAUUCUCAGGUACCAAAGGUUAAGUCUUGCACAUGCCUUUUGAGGGGGAUACAAUUCAUCCCACUACAGGGAAUAAUUUACAUAUGAUAAAAUUCAACAAUUUUAAGUGGCCAGGCAUGGUGGCUCUCCCCUGUA
rnacentral:lncRNA from 1 species